UACGUAGGGUGCGAGCGUUGUCCGGAAUUACUGGGCGUAAAGGGCUCGUAGGCGGCCAACUAAGUCAUACGUGAAAUCCCUCAGCUUAACUGGGGAACUGCGUGUGAUACUGGAUGGCUUGGAUUUGGGAGAGGGAUGCGGAAUUCCAGGUGUAGCGGUGAAAUGCGUAGAUAUCUGGAGGAACACCGGUGGCGAAGGCGGCAUCCUGGACCAAUAUUGACGCUGAGGAGCGAAAGCCAGGGGAGCAAACGGG
rnacentral:rRNA from 1 species